GGACCCUGCUGAGCCUUAGCGCCUGGAUCUGCGCACCGCUUGGCGGGCCCGACUGACUCCACCGGCCGACCACCGUAGGUCCUUUUGGAAUAAAUCAUGGGGUUGAGCUUCAUUCAGAUGUGGUGGAAUAUGCCAAGGAAAAACUGGAGAGCUUCAUCAAAAAUAGUGAUAGCUUUGAUAAAUUUGAGUUCUGUGAACCUGCAUUUGUGGUUGGUAAUUGCCUCCAGAUAGCAUCUGACAGCCAUC
rnacentral:lncRNA from 1 species